UGAACAAAAGAGCAGUCUGCACUGAGUUUC
rnacentral:piRNA from 1 species